rnacentral:rRNA from 1 species
CCUACGUGCGGCAGCAGUGAGGAAUAUUGGUCAAUGGGAGAGAUCCUGAACCAGCCAAGCCGCGUGAGGGAAGACGGCCCUAUGGGUUGUAAACCUCUUUUGUCGGAGAACAAAACCCGGGACGUGUCCCGGACUGCGUGUAUCCGAAGAAAAAGCAUCGGCUAACUCCGUGCCAGCAGCCGCGGUAAUACGGAGGAUGCGAGCGUUAUCCGGAUUUACUGGGUGUAAAGGGCGUGCAGCCGGAGAGACAAGUCAGAUGUGAAAUCCACGGGCUCAACCCGUGAACUGCAUUUGAAACUGUUUCCCUUGAGUGUCGGAGAGGUAAUCGGAAUUCCUUGUGUAGCGGUGAAAUGCGUAGAUAUAAGGAAGAACACCAGUGGCGAAGGCGGAUUACUGGACGAUAACUGACGGUGAGGCGCGAAAGCGUGGGGAGCAAACAGGAUUAGAUACCCGUGUAGUC